UACGAGGGGGGCGAGCGUUGUUCGGAAUUAUUGGGCGUAAAGGGUGCGUAGGCGGUUUGGUAAGUCUGAUGUGAAAUCUAUGGGCUCAACUCAUAGUCUGCAUCGGAAACUGCCGGGCUUGAGUGUGGGAGAGGUGAGUGGAAUUCCUGGUGUAGCGGUGAAAUGCGUAGAUAUCAGGAGGAACACCUGUGGCGAAAGCGGCUCACUGGACCAUAACUGACGCUGAUGCACGAAAGCUAGGGGAGCGAACGGG
rnacentral:rRNA from 1 species